AGUGUGUAUCAAUCGAGUUUCUGACCUAUCAGCUUUUGAUGUUAGGGUAUUGGCCUAACAUGGCUAUGACGGGUAACGGGGAAUUAGAGUUCGAUUCCGGAGAGGGAGCCUGAGAAAUAGCUACCACAUCUAAGGAAGGCAGCAGGCGCGUAAAUUACCCAAUUCUAAAGAAGAGAGGUAGUGACAAGAAAUAACAAUACAAGGCCAAUCUGGCUUUGUAAUUGGAAUGAUGGGAAUUUAAAACCUUCCCAAAACUCAAUUGGAGGGCAAGUCUGGUGCCAGCAGCCGCGGUAAUUCCAGCUCCAAUAGCGUAUAUUAAAAUUGUUGCAGUUAAAACGCUCGUAGUUGAAUUUCAAAGAAUCGAUAUUUUAAGUAACGCUUUUAGCUUAAUCCAAUAACUGAUACUACGUAUCGACUUUGUGCGCAUUUUGCUAUUAUGUGUUCUUUUAAUUAAAAUGAUUCUUUUUAAGGUCUUUCUUUUGCUUCGGCAUUUGAAGAUCUUGUUACUUUGAGUAAAUUAGAGUGUUCAAAGCAAACAGAUAUAGCAUUGCGCGUUUGAAUACUACAGCAUGGAAUAACAAAAUUGAACAAGUCAGAAUUUUGUUCUUUUUUCUUAUUUUGGCUUAGUUACGAUUAAUAGGAGUAGCUUGGGGGCAUUUGUAUUCAGAUGUCAGAGGUGAAAUUCUUAGAUUUUCUGGAGACAAACAACUGCGAAAGCAUUUGCCUAAAAUACUUCCAUUAAUCAAGAACGAAAGUUAAGGGAGUGAAGACGAUCAGAUACCGUC
rnacentral:rRNA from 1 species